rnacentral:rRNA from 1 species
UACGGAGGGUGCAAGCGUUAUCCGGAUUCACUGGGUUUAAAGGGUGCGUAGGUGGGCAGGUAAGUCAGUGGUGAAAUCUUUGGGCUUAACCCGAAAACUGCCAUUGAUACUAUUUGUCUUGAAUAUUGUGGAGGUCAGCGGAAUAUGUCAUGUAGCAGUGAAAUGCUUAGAUAUGACAUAGAACACCAAUUGCGAAGGCAGCUGGCUACGCAUAUAUUGACACUGAUGCACGAAAGCGUGGGGAUCAAACAGG